UCACACUCAUUCACAACAAUAUAGAAAUAUAUGCAAUGCGACUCACGACACAACAUGACACUAUGCAUAUGAUACCAACUCAACAUUUGAAUAAAAUCAUAUAUAUACCAAUUCAGCCAUAAAAUUUGGAUAAACACACCUUAAAUUAUUAUUUUUUAGAACAACAUAUAACAACAAUUCAUAAGAAUUUCACGUAAUUCCUAAAGAGAGUAAGAGUCGCUCUUCUAUACACUUUCAUGCAAUACACUCAUAUGGAAACUCUG
rnacentral:lncRNA from 1 species